rnacentral:piRNA from 1 species
ACAAUGUGUACUGCAUCAAUGGGCUGA